rnacentral:lncRNA from 10 species
CAAAUAAGCACGUAAGCAUUUGAGAGGAAGCAAAACUGAAAGAGUUUUACCAAUGUACAUAGAACAUCUAUAUUAAAAAGGACUAAUUCCUGCUAAGAGUGAAGAGGAAGCUGCAGAAGCAAAAUUUGAAGCUAACAGAAGUUCAUUUGUGACGUUUAAGGAAAGAAGCCAUCUCCAAAACAUAAAAAUGCAAGGUGAAGCAAUGAGUACUGAUAUAGAAGCUGUGGCAAGUUACAUAGAAGAUCUGGCUAAGAUCACUGAUGAAGGCGGCAACAUUAACAACAGAUUUUUCAAUGUAGACAAAACAGCCUUCUAUUCCAAGAAGAUGUCUUCUACAAGUUUCAGAGCCACAGAGGAGAAACCAAUACCUGGCUUCAAAGUUCGAAGGACAAGCUGACUCUUUUAUUAGGGGAUAACACAGCUGGUGACUUUAUGUUGAAGCCAACGCUCAUUGACCAUUCUGAAAAUCUUAAGGACCUUCAGAAUUAUGCUAAAUCUACUCUACCUAUGCUCUAUAAAUGAAAUAACAAAACCUGAGUGACAGCAGAUCUGUAUACAGCAUGGUUUACCAAAUAUUUUAAGCCUAAUGUUGAGACG